rnacentral:lncRNA from 1 species
UUUGGGACGGAUGGAGUUAAGAGGGAAAUAAAUUCAAGUUUUCACAAAAUAUGCAUACAAAUAUUUAUCAAAUAGGGUUACAAUUUUUUAUAAAAAAAAAUAGGGUUACAAUUAAUUAUAACAAGACAAAAUUAAGAUGGUUCCAAACACAACCCAACAAAUAAGACACAAAUUUCAUAGCUAAAGACAGAUUUGCAGAAUUCCAACUCGGGUGGUGUUAAGCAUUUUCCCAAAACUUGAUUGUUUCUUCAUCAACUUGUAACCUCAUUUCAUUAUGGAGGUCGUGCAACAACGAGGAAGCAUAAGCUACAAAUAUAAUUUGGGUAUUAUGUUAGAAAAAAAAAUUAAAGCAACUAUAAAAUUUCAAUCAAAUUGUAAAAUAGAUAUUUCAACUACCUCUCCUUGAAUGCUUGGAGUGAAGUUUUGUGCUAUGUCUAUCCAGUCGAUCACCAAACAGCAUUAUUAUCACUGAACAUCAAUAUACUAAACACUUAAUAUGCUAGACAUAAAGUUUAAGUAAACAAAAUAGUAAAUUAAGAGUAAAGUUUAUAUACCUACACUAGUAGAAAAAUGACUUUUGGUUUGGAGAUACCACUACCGGUAUGUGAAUACCAGUAGUGAAAUACAUUUGACCAAAGGAUUCCACUACUGAUAUUUUUAAAACGGUAGUGAAAAGUUCAGAGACAAGGGAUUUCACUACCGGCUUUGCUAAAUCCGU